AUUGAACGCUGGCGGCAUGCCUUACACAUGCAAGUCGAACGGUAACGCGGGGCAACCUGGCGACGAGUGGCGAACGGGUGAGUAAUGCAUCGGAACGUGCCCAGUAGUGGGGGAUAGCCCGGCGAAAGCCGGAUUAAUACCGCAUACGACCUACGGGUGAAAGCGGGGGAUCGCAAGACCUCGCGCUAUUGGAGCGGCCGAUGUCAGAUUAGGUAGUUGGUGAGGUAAAGGCUCAACAAGCCUUCGAUCUGUAGCUGGUCUGAGAGGACGACCAGCCACACUGGGACUGAGACACGGCCCAGACUCCUACGGGAGGCAGCAGUGGGGAAUUUUGGACAAUGGGCGCAAGCCUGAUCCAGCCAUGCCGCGUGCGGGAAGAAGGCCUUCGGGUUGUAAACCGCUUUGUCAGGGAAGAAAAGACCCGGGCUAAUACCUUGGGGUAAGUGACGGUACCUGAAGAAUAAGCACCGGCUAACUACGUGCCAGC
rnacentral:rRNA from 1 species